CCUCCGGUGUUGUUGUGAGAAGUUCAUUAAACCUUAUCAUUUAGAGGAAGGAGAAGUCGUAACAAGGUUUCCGUAGGUGAACCUGCGGAAGGAUCAUUGAACACACGAUCUCGGAAAACCCUUUGCGAACAAUCUCAUGUACCCCGAGGGAUCGUGCUCGGAGGCACGAUCGUCGGUGCCGGAGCCCUGAUUCAUGUGCGCUUGCCGUGAUUCUCCCGUUGGUGCGUGGCGGGAAUAUGUGGUUUUGGUUUACCGUCGGAGCGUCCCCGACACGCGUGGUUCCGUUUCUCUUGCGGCGUACUCGAACAGGCGGAGGAUCCGCACUCCUGGUUAGAGUCUCGAGCAGGCUCUGAGCAGUUGUUGAUGCGUCCUCCGAUGACGGUACAUGCAGGAUUCGGAGUCGGGAGCGUGUCCCCUCCUCCGAGGGUGAUCCCGAUGGACUCGUUCCACGGGACUCCACCCUCGGGGCCCUGUGUUUUUCCAACAAGGAACCUGACCGAACGAUGUUUUGAUGGACUGACUCCGCGUGCGAGGAAUCCGCACGGCAGUCUGCCGUGCGGAUUCCGAGUCCCGGGAAAAGCAAACAUAAUACAAAAUGACUCUCAGCAACGGAUAUCUUGGCUCUUGCAACGAUGAAGAACGCAGCGAAAUGCGAUACCUAGUGUGAAUUGCAGAAUUCCGCGAAUCAUCGAGUUUUUGAACGCAAGUUGCGCCCGAGGCUCGUUCCAAGGGCAUGCCUGCCUGAGCGUCCGCUCCGGCCCACCCACGAUCCUCUCCUCCUGCCUAUCCGGGCAGGAGGUCAAGGUGCAAGUGCGAGUGGAAUUGGUCGUCCGGGAACCCGGAUCUCACUCUGUGAAUACCCGAGGAUUCGCGGUUGGCUGAAAAAUGGGAGCCGUCCGUCGAUCGCGCGCAGGGGCAAGGGUGCGUCGCGAGAAGGUGCCGUCCUCUCCUUGGAGAUGGAUGUUAGUAACAAAAGCGUCGUCCCUCCUCUGCGGAGUCGAAUCCGGCGGUUCGGUGGAACAAGUACAUGGGAGCGCAGACGGGAUCUGGGUACCUGCUGUACCUGUGUUCUCCCUCCGCCUCGGCAGAGGCGGAGGGUUGGGUGCAGGUGUGCUGACUGGUGCUGGGUCCUCGAACGCGAUGUUGGUUGGACCUCAGAUCAGGCAAGACCACCCGCUGAAUUUAAGCAUAUCACUAAGCGGAGGAAAAGAAACUAACAAGG
rnacentral:rRNA from 1 species